ensembl:ncRNA F59B8.5 ncRNA
CGCGUUGGCGGCAUCGAUAGUGACUGGAAAAGGUUUUCUUAGUUUUAAAACAUAAAAAUCAUCUGAUUUAAUUUUUUUUUUUAAUCUGACGCGUAAAAUUCCAGCUUUUUAUUUUCCAAACGUUACCUUGAUCAUCGGUGGCAUCACGAU